CUGUUAGAUGUCGCUGUAGAUUUAGCAGUACUUUACUGUAAAAAUCCACAGUACUAUACUGUAUGUGUACAUUACAGUACAGUACUGCAGUUCAUAAUGCAUUCUGGGUAAAUUUGUUUGAGCGGGAAAAUUUUACAGUAUAUUUUGGUCUUGAUGUAACCUUGCUGUAGCCAUUGCUGUAAUGUGCCAGGUGUACUUGCAAUAAUCAGAGAAAGUGCGCCAGAGUCAAAUCACACAGACAGCACAACUCCUGGCUGCAGCUGAAGGAGGACGAUUGAUUUCUGGCAGUUCGUCUUACCAUUGCUUGUAAGCUGGAUUGGGUAAGAUGGAUCAUCUUUAAAGGCACCAGGAGUUAAGGCAGAUGUGGAGGCACAACGGGUGACACCAGACACACCCAAGCACAUUAUGUUCGGACAUUCAAUCAUGACAGGAUCCAGGUGGAUGCUGUCCAUUGAGAAAAGAGUUUGUUCAGCGGUUUCUGGAUAGAAUUAAUUCCAAAGAUGGGAAAAAGUGCACAUCCAGACAAGGAGCAAGCAAAAAGACAAGGAACUUGGUGCAGAGAAAAGCUGUGGCCAUUAACCCCCAUGUGAACAGCUUCAUGCAGUCCCUGAUUGAGUUCGAAUGGACGACUUCAAAGUAAAGGCCACUGUGGUCUGUCUGCCACAGUUUAAUGCAUUUAUUUUUAGUGUUAAAUGAAAUUCAAGUAGAAUAUUUAAAACUAUGGGCCAGUGUUGUUUUUACCACGGUGAAAUGUUACCUUUUAGUCGAUGAUGGACUUUAAACUGAAAACUUCAAACUAUGGAACAGUGUUCUAUUUGCCAGAGUUAAAUAUGUUACAGCAGGGGUCUCCAAACUUGUUUAUACUUGUUGAUUUUAUUUUA